AGACCAUGUUCUUUUGAGCAUUCACAGCAUCAGAGUAAUGGAAAGGUGUAGCAGUUUACGAUUGCUAGCAUGCAGUUAGCAGUGUGCCCACUACCACCAACGUUUUGGUACAUGAUGGAAGGGGGAAUCAACAAUCACUGCCCAAACAUAUGUGGGGAGUAUAUUCAUUCAUAUAACAAUUAUUUCUUAAUAGCUACGGUCAC
rnacentral:sRNA from 1 species